CUGCAGUUAGACAUGCUAGGUGACUUGUGUUUGUGGGACUUGGGCUAAGGUUCUAUUUAAUUGUGAUGUAGAUGUUCAGAUCAUGCUACAGCUUGAGCUCUGGGACCCUUCCACUUUGUAAGUCCCAGCUCAAGCCCAAAUAUCUACACUGGAAUUUACAACCCAUCGGCCUACGUGUUAAUAGGUUUGAAUACUUCAUCUUCAAAUAUCAGGAAGUCAGCAAAGAUGUCAAACAGCAUCAGAGAUUUAUCCAAAGAAGUCCUGAGAUAGCCACUGAAUAGCUGAAACAGUUGAAUAACUGUACAAUAUUAGUACUGAUGACAAGAGACAGCAGCGGCACUGAAAAUAAAUUCUGGAAUUUUUCUGCUUGUCUACCAAGGCUGUUUUGUGUUUUGUUCUAUGACAGUUUAACUGAAAGUGCUAUGGUGUCGGCUGUAGCAACGUCGUCACUUAGUGUACCUCUUAGAGGGAAGUGAGAUAUUCAAAAAUUUACUAACAGUGGCAUGAUCAACAUGACACUGUAAUGAAACUUCAGAGACUGAUAUUGAUAUAAUAUAUCAGACCAGAAACAAUCAUUAGUGCUGAAGCUCUUACUGGUGUAUAUAAUUUUUUCUAAACCUUCAAACAUUUCAAAUAGAAUAUAGCAAGGUGCUUUGUUCCUCUAAGGACUGCUAGUAUAACAAGGCAAUCUUUUGAUUUAAGCCUUUACAAGUCUGGCUAGAAUGGCUUGCAGAAGAAAGCACAUUGGUUAAAUAAUUCAAAGUACUAUAGUAGGAAAUAUGUGAUUCCCAUUCUCAUAAUGCUAUUUCAAAUGAACCCAGAUAGAGCAGAGAGUGGAUAGAAGUGCUGGAUCAUUUAAGAUCUAAUCUUGUGAAGUUCUGAGUGGAGGUGCUGAGCACCUCCAGAUCUUCUCUCAGGAAUGAGCGUUUACUUUCCAAAUACAGAGUUUUAUAGCAUUGUUUUGUUCAGGAGUGUCAUAUUGUAUUUUUUGGCUAAU